UAAUCCCACCCAAGUCACUAGGACUACUGAUGUGUGAGUAUGGUGAGCAGGAUUUGUGGAGUAAGAGGGGAAUAAAUGUUCAGCCAAAAGGAACCAAUUUAGGGCAUGGGGAACUUCAUUCUGAGUAUUUCCACUACACUUUCCUUGUCAGCUGCUGCCAGACACCAUUUCCUAAUUUAACCUGACUAGGAGCCGAGAUCAUAGGAGAUAAAGUAGAGGGGGAUGAGGUUUUGCAGUUCAAACAACUGUUAAACUAAUCAUACCAAUAAUAUAACUUGUUUAGGAUUUAAUCAGCCUUUAAUAUCAGGGGAUUUGGGAUCUCUGAGCUCUAACCCAUUUCUGCUCUUAUAUUUUACCUCCUCACUUUCUCCAUCUAUCACCCAAGCCAAACACCCUACACAUUACAGACACAUACCAACCAACCAAAGGUGGAUCAACAAGCAAGACUGCCUCCCAGUGCUCUCAGCCUGACUGGCCGGAAAAAGCAGGGGACCUGUGGUAGUGUGACUGCUGGGCUGACUAUAAAUAUCAGUUUAAAGCAGAAGCCCUUGAUACAACAUUUCCAUAUUUUGUACACUGGCUUUUCAGAAACCAAAUCCCACACCUUGCAUCCCCAUGCAGAUUUCUUGGUCUGACAGCAGAUAAGCAACACAGUCUUAGCCCUGGUCUACACUACAAGUUUAGGUCGAAUUUAGCAGCAUUAGAUCGAUUUAACCCUGCACCCGUCCACACGACGAAGCCAUUUUUGUCGACUUAAAGGGCUCUUAAAAUCGAUUUCUGUACUCCUCCCCGAUGAGGGGAUUAGCGCUGAAAUCGACAUUGCCGGGUCGAAUUUGGGAUAGUGUGGAUGCAAUUCAAUGGUAUUGGUCUCCAGGAGCUAUCCCAGAGUGCUCCAUUGUGACCGCUCUGGACAGCACUUUCAACUCAGAUGCACUAACCAGGUACACAGGAUAAGCACCAGGAAUUUUUGAAUUUCAUUUCCUGUUUGGCCAGCGUGGCGAGCUCAUCAGCACAGGUGACCAUGUAGUCCCAGAAUCGCAAAAGAGCUCCAGCACGGACUGAACGGGAGGUACUGGAUCUGAUCGCUGUAUGGGGGACAAAUCUGUGCUAUCAGAACUCCGUUCCAAAAGACGCAAUUCUAGUGGGUGCCCCUACCACUACCCCUAACCCAUCUCUGUCCGUGGACACCUGCAAGGGGGGGGGAAUCUCACACAACAGGCAUGAGGAUUUUGGGGAUGAGGAAGAUGAGGAGGAGGAGAGUGCACAUCAGGCAAGCGGAGAAACCGUUCUCCCCGACAGCCAGGAACUGUUUAUCACCCUGGAGCCAAUACCCUCCCAAGGCGGGCUCCCGGACCAUGAAGCUGGAGAAGGCACCUCUGGUGAGUGUACCUUUGUAAAUAUAAAUACAUGGUUUAAAAGCAAGUGUGUUUAAUGAUUAAUUUGCCCAGAAGACGUGGGAUGCAUUUGCAGCCAGUACAGCUACUGAAAAGUCUGUUAACGUGUCUAGGGAUGGAGCAGAAAUCCUCCAGGGACAUUAUUAAGGGGACAUUCAGAGGUGGCCAUUCCUGCUGGGCUGUUUGCCUGUGGCUGAAAAGAAACCAUCCCCACUUUUAGCCAUGCGGUGGAGAGGGGGGGAACUGGUUCACGCUGAGCUGUUCACAUUUGGCUGGCAGGGAUCUUCCCUGUUACUAGUCACGCGGUGGGAGGAGGGGCGAAGCGAUCAUCCCAGAGAAUGGGGGGGAGGGGUAAAUUGGGUUUGUGUUGCGCAUUAACCAGAAAACCGCAGCCCCUCGUUUUAAAUGGCCAACCCAACUGGUGCUUGGUUUGGGAAAGGAGGGCGCUGCUGUUUGAAAGCAUUCCCAGGUGUUAUGAAGGCUGAAGAAGCCAAAAGACUGUGGUUUACCACAGCUGUCUGCAAGCCGAAUUCUGUUGCCCGGCCCUGCGUGUGUGAUCUCUCACACCAAACCAGCAGUCCUCAACAUAAGAGGCAAAAUGCGACCUUGUACCAAAAGCACGUGCUAUUUAACGUUAACAGCUUGGUUCAUCGUGAAAGAGUCUACCCACUGUUCUCUAGAAUGUGUCUCUUUAAAUACUACUUUCCCUUUUUUCCCCUCCCGCAGCUGCAAAUGUUUCAACGCUCCCCCUAUCAUCUCCGUCCCAGAGGCUAGCGCAGAUAAGAAGGCAAAAAAAACCGCACUCGUGAUGAAAUGUCCUGAGCUCAUGCAGUCCUCCCGCACUGAAAGAGCUCAGCAGAAUGCGUGGAGACAAACAAUGGCAGAGUCCACAAAAGCAGAAAAUGAACACGAGGACAGGAGGGACGAGCAAGGGCAGAGGAAAGCAAGUCACAAAGUUCCAUGAAAGUGCCCUUAUGCAUGCAAAAGUUUCUCAGCCACUGGGAAUCAUUCCAGACCUGCAACACUUUGCAGUUCCACCAGUCUGUGCUUGUUUCCCGGGCCCAGAAUCAGCGUUCCACGACAUGAGCCUGCCCCACUGCCACCAGGAUGGCCAAACUGCCAGGGCCCGUACUUUGAGAGACGUCUGUGUCCAUGUCCUCAUCACUCUCAUCACCACACUGCCUUCGCCUCCUCGCCUGCUCUUACAGGUUCUGGUUCUACAUAUACUGCAGAAUAAUGCGCAAGGUGUUUACAAUGCUCUUAACUGCCGCGGUGAUCUAAGCAGGCUCCAUGCUUCCCGUGGUAUGGCAUCUGCAGGACAGCAGAGUUGCAGCAGAGGCGGUGGCUGACGACGGAUGCCACAAGAACAGAUAUUUAUAGAGAAUGACGAGAGGACCUGCGAGAUGGAUUCAUGAAAGCAGGAGAGCAGAGUUGCAGCAGAAGCAGUGGAUGAUGACAGUUAGUACCGCGUACAUUUCCCGAGGAAGAACACACAUUCCCGGGAGCCCAUAACAGACAACAUGGAGAAAUUCGCUAUUGAGACAAUAGCAGCAUAGCAGAGUUGCAGCGGCAGUGGUGGAUGACGACGGUUAGCAAUCCUACUGCACCGUCUGCUGAAAGCAGUAUGGCGUCCGCAUGGAAAAAAGGCAUGAAAUGAUUGUCUGCCGUUGCUUUCACGGAGGGACGGGCGACUGACGACAUGUACCCAAAACCACCCGCGACAAUGUUUUUGCCCCAUCGGACAUUGGGAGCUUAACCCAGAAUUCCAAUGGGCGGCAGAGACUUCCGGAACUGUGGGAUAGCUACCCACAGUGCAACGCUCCGUAAGUCGAUGCUAGCCACCGACUUAAUGCGCUUAGUGUGGACGUACAUAAUCGACUGUAUAAAAUCGAUUUAUAAAAAUCGAUUUCUAUAAUAUCGACCUAAUUUCGUAGCGUAGACAUACCCUUUGCUACAGAAGUAAAGGGAAAGCAAUCUUUACAUAGCAGUACUGCCCAGGGUUUAAUCAGACACCUGACCCCACACAGGACAGAGUGCACACGCACAAGCCAAUCAGUCAGCCAAGUAUGGCUCUUACCCUGCUUAAAAGUGUUACACCAGGACUGGACUCUGUUAUGUACAUGUCUCAAUGGCUUUGUCUGAUGCUAUUUGAUUGUGCCAGAUAGUUUAAAAUUCAUACCACAGACUGAGAUUAAAAGGGACAUUCUCAACUUGGGGGAGGGAGGGAGGGAAUCGCAUUUCUGCUUGGAAAUGCUGUGCCUACAGAAGGCACAAACAACAACUGAGAUUACUAGAACUUAAACUCAGAAACUAAACAAAAAUACGUUUCUUUACUUUGUGUAUCUGACAGCACUGUUCCUCUGCAUUGUCAGUUUCUCCCUUGCUAAAGAGAUUCUCAAACAUCAACAAAGGAGCAAAAAACCUAAUUAACAAAACUGUAAAUGAUUUUAAAAUGAUUUAAAAUAUAUUAGAAUGUCUACUUAGAGAGCAGGCAGAAUUUUUUUUUUAAUUAGUCAGUUUAAAAAAAAAUGAAUAGGCAGUGUCCCUUUGCAAGGGAAUGGUAUGGAUAGUUUACAUCUCCGUUCCAGGGAAGACAAAUGAACUUGUGGGGUUGAGAAAGGGACAUGUUCCUGGUUCACUACCGAGGUCACUGGCUUUGCAUUGCAGAUAUAUAUACUAUACCUAUGUCUACAGAUAAAAAUUCAACAAUGGUAAGUCUCCAUAUGUUUUAUACAGUAUCUCAUUUCCAUCUAACUGAAUACUCAAAAUAUAAUUAUGCAUCAGGUUG